rnacentral:lncRNA from 1 species
CCACGGCCCGACCCAGGCGCACGAUCGAGGAUUGCGCCGACGAGGUCGUUGUUGCAGCCGAUGGCGUGGACAAUCUCGUGCACGGUCGCGCUAGACAGGGCCACAACCUUGUCCAUCGUCAGCGUCAUGUUAAAGGCGACGCCGUCGCUGUUUGUCAAUCCAAAGCCGCACGCAUGCAUAGCGUCCGUGGUGUAACCGGCAUCGAUCAAGAUGGCUGCCAGUGACCUGACCUCGUCACGUGAUGGCAACUGCAUGGGCACCGCGGGUGCAUACGCGAGCGCAAGGUGCGUGGCCAGCGAUACAAGCGGGUGGACCGUGUCGCGUGGAAUACGCUGGGUGCCGGCUGGAUGGGGCGGCAGCGUCGCCAAUAGACGCUGCACGAUCGGUAUGGGGUCGAUGCAGCGGACGACCCCGGCGGCUCCGUGCGCGACGCAAAUACCAAACGGAUCGCGACACGCCACGCCCACGCACACACGGGCAUUCACCCACGGACACGAGGCCAGAAAGCGACUCAGGAGUCCGUCCAUGCGUGUCGGGUCAACGCGCGCACCCCUUUCAAUGAGGAGGUCAAGGCAGCCGAUGGCACCGUAAAAGACGGCCAAUUCGACGGGAGGUACGCCGAUGUGCGAUUCCACAGCGACAUCGCACGGUACAUGUGAACCAAGCGCCGUGUUACGGCGGAAACGCUUUUCCGUAGCGACGACACCCACCUCGGCGCCGGUCGACGCCAAAAGGUGAUUCAGGCGAAAGAGAUGGAUCGGGUUAUCCACGCCGGCCCUGCCGGUGUCGAGGGCGCGCAUCAGCCGCGGGCGACUGUCGAGGGCCAGCGCACACGUGAUCUCGGCCUGUGCCGUGUAAAAGUGACUGCACCGGCCCGACGGUGCUGCCGCUUUGGCGGCCAUUUGGCGUCGCACCGCGGCAAGGGCGCGCGCACCAAUCUCGCCCCAUCGACGGCAGGCAAGGCGUGCGGCGGCGGCCGAAGCAACGUCUGCAAAGGCAAGGACAUGAAAAAGUUUGUCGAGGGCGUCGUCGCACAUAACGGACCCAUCCCACAGCGUCGCUGGCGUCGUCGGUUGCUCUCUUUUGUCGUCCAUUCCUUCUUGUCGCCUUUUUGUCUUGUGUCUUUUUGUUGGUCAUGAAAAGAAGGAGAAGCGAGCAGGCCAAUGCUUUGGAC